rnacentral:ncRNA from 1 species
AAGUGGGGACGACCCCACCGCUCCAGCUCUUUGCGGGGACGGCCUCG